rnacentral:rRNA from 1 species
GACGAACGCUGGCGGCGUGCUUAACGCAUGCAAGUCGAGCGAUGAAGCACCUUCGGGUGUGAAUUAGCGGCGAACGGGUGAGGAACACGUGAGAAAUCUGCCUUCAACUUUGGGAUAACUCCGUGAAAACGGGGCUAAUACCGGAUAUGAAACCUGCGGGCAUCCGCGGGUUUGGAAAGUUUUUCGGUUGAAGAUGAUCUCGCGGCCUAUCAGCUUGUUGGUGAGGUAAUGGCUCACCAAGGCGACGACGGGUAGCCGGCCUGAGAGGGCGACCGGCCACACUGGGACUGAGACACGGCCCAGACUCCUACGGGAGGCAGCAGUGGGGAAUAUUGGGCAAUGGAGGAAACUCUGACCCAGCGACGCCGCGUGCGGGAUGAAGGCCUUCGGGUUGUAAACCGCUUUCAGCAGGGAAGAAGCGAAAGUGACGGUACCUGCAGAAGAAGCACCGGCUAACUAUGUGCCAGCCGCCGCCGUAA